AUCGUGACCUGGCUGAAGUCGGACGCUUAACCGACUGUGCCACCCAGGCGCCCCAAAGCACAACUUUUUUAAACCACAGGACAGAGAACUUGAAAGAGAAAAUCUUUAGGUGAAGCAAGCAAGCUGAAACUGAGGAAAUUCUUCCUGAAAGAAUUAUUUAUUUUUUCCAAAGAAAAUUUGGUUUAUCAAAAUCAAUCAACAAAUGAGUGAACCCAUGGUGUGGUUAUUUAUAGCAAAAUUUAAAACCCAACACAGAUUUCUCUUUCCCAUCUAGCAUGCUUCUGUCUAACCUCUCAUCAUUCGUUGGUAUGUACAAAAGACACAAUUCACUUUAUUUAUAAUUUAAAUACAGUCGGAAAUUAUAGGUGAACCUUCACUUCUCACAUGUGGACUUAUCUCUCUCUCCCUCCCGAAGGGAAGGGAGACUUACCUAAUGGGUGAAUUUGGGAGAAGGAGCUAAGCAGUGCUUAUGUGUUUCUGAAUCUCCUCUUUGAAAAGAUGUGCUUGCCCACAGUAACAUGAAUUUGGGUCUGCUCUCAGCUCUGUGAAAGAGAAGAGCAGGGUUACUUGCCGCCUACCCAGUGUCACCUGUCACAGCUCCACCAAGAAAAAUGACUAGACAGCACUUACAGAAACAUUCUCUUCUUCCUUGACUUCAUAACUAAUGUACAUUGUUCAAAAGCAGCGCCCACUCGAAAGAGAGAAAAAGUUGAAAGGAACCAUUUUAGGAACAAACAUAGAAAGUCAGACAAACUGAGGACACAGAGGAGUACAUUCCAAAUGAAAGAACAUGACAAAACCUAAGGAAAAAAAAACUAAGAGAAACAGAGAUAA